AGAGGGCGCCGCAAGGGCUCUCACCACGAGAUGAGUCCGCGUCCCAUCAGCUAGUUGGCGGUGUAAUGGACCACCAAGGCUUAGACGGGUAGCUGGUCUGAGAGGAUGGCCAGCCACACUGGGACUGAGACACGGCCCAGACUCCUACGGGAGGCAGCAGUGGGGAAUAUUGGACAAUGGGCGAAAGCCUGAUCCAGCCAUGCCGCGUGAGUGAUGAAGGUCUUCGGAUCGUAAAGCUCUGUGGGAAGGGACGAAAAAGCGUGACCUAAUACGUCUCGCCUUGACGGUACCUUCUUAGCAAGCACCGGCUAACUCCGUGCCAGCAGCCGCGGUAAUACGGAGGGUGCAAACGUUGCUCGGAAUUAUUGGGCGUAAAGCGCAUGUAGGCGGUCCGCUAAGUCGGAUGUGAAAGCCCUCGGCUUAACCGAGGAAGUGCAUCCGAAACUGGCGGGCUAGAGUACGGAAGAGGGUUUCGGAAUUCCCGGUGUAGAGGUGAAAUUCGUAGAUAUCGGGAG
rnacentral:rRNA from 1 species